rnacentral:rRNA from 1 species
AUGAGCCGACGCUCUCUGUAUAAAGCGGCCACUGUGCACAAGUCAAAUCGCCCAAGAGGAGAAGCCAAGCAAAGAACGAAGCAGAACACAUCUGUCUGUCUUCCUUCAUUCACACGCGCGUGCGCGCGAGGGAGGGAGGGAGGGAGGGAGGGAGGGAGAGAGAGAGGAUUCCCUGGUUUGGUGGCGCUCGGCAAUGUGAUGGCGCAGCCGCAGCAGCAGCAACGGCAACGGCGCCUCGUCGCGGCGCUCCUGGUGCUCCUCUCCCUCUGCUGCCUUGCUCGCCUCGGCGCCGCGGCUUCUGCAGCGAGUGCUGACCCUCACCGGAAGGAUGGAGCGGCGACUGCGCUGGGCAAGGCCGCGCCACAGGAUGAGGAGGCAGCGCCCGGGUUCACGACGACCACCGUGGAGGACCGAGGGCGAGGGCGAGGACCGGUGAGGGUAGUGAUGGAGGUUGACAUCGAGGACUAUCCCCGGUAUGGCGCCAAUGGCCGGCACAACCCGGAGGGUCCGCACCCGUGA